UCUUUGUUCUACCCACUUCCUUUCAUUUUGGAGUAGCUUGCUUAAACCGGAUUGCAACUCUCUGCUACUCCCUGAGAAACCCAUUUUAACUGUAUUCAAGGGGAUGAAGGUCUAAGAGUGAACCAGAAAGGCGGCAUCCCCAUGCUCAUGGAGUUUAUACAUUGCAGUGGAGCAGAGAGAACUUUACCAGCCAUUGUUCACCAUUUCAGGACACGCCACCACGGGUGACAGUGCCACUCAAAGUGUCAGAGCCCUCAACAAAACACGCCUGCCUCCGUUGGCUUCAGGAGGCAUCCCAUUCGAGGUGAUGCUAGAGAUCAGUGCACCGUCAAGCAGCUGCAUAUUGAAAUACACAUUAUUUUAUGUAAAUUACUUCCCUUCCAUUUUCCUGUGUAAUACA